GUGCCAGCAGCCGCGGUAAUUCCAGCUCCAAUAGCGUAUAUUAAAGUUGUUGCAGUUAAAAAGCUCGUAGUUGAACCUUGGGCCUGGCUGGCCGGUCCGCCUCACCGCGUGUACUGGUCCGGCCGGGCCUUUCCUUCUGGGGAACCUCAUGCCCUUCACUGGGCGUGUUGGGGAACCAGGACUUUUACUUUGAAAAAAUUAGAGUGUUCAAAGCAGGCCUUUGCUCGAAUACAUUAGCGUGGAAUAAUAGAAUAGGACGUGUGGUUCUAUUUUGUUGGUUUCUAGGUCCGCCGUAAUGAUUAAUAGGGAUAGUCGGGGGCAUCAGUAUUCAAUCGUCAGAGGUGAAAUUCUUGGAUUGAUUGAAGACUAACUACUGCGAAAGCAUUUGCCAAGGAUGUUUUCAUUAAUCAGUGAACGAAAGUUAGGGGAUCGAAGACGAUCAGAUACCGUCGUAGUCUUAACCAUAAACUAUGCCGACUAGGGAUCGGACGGUGUUAGUAUUUUGACCCGUUCGGCACCUUACGAGAAAUCAAAGUUUUUGGGUUCUGGGGGGAGUAUGGUCGCAAGGCUGAAACUUAAAGAAAUUGACGGAAGGGCACCACCAGGCGUGAGCCUGCGGCUUAAUUUGACUCAACACGGGGAAACUCACCAGGUCCAGACACAAUAAGGAUUGACAGAUUGAGAGCUCUUUCUUGAUUUUGUGGGUGUGGUGCAUGACCGUUCUUAGUUGGUGGAGUGAUUUGUCUGCUUAAUUGCGAUAACGAACGAGACCUUAACCUGCUAAAUAGCCAGGCCCGCUUUG
rnacentral:rRNA from 1 species